rnacentral:rRNA from 1 species
GUCUAUGACCAUACCACCCUGAAAUUGACAGCUCUCAUCCCAUCUCAGAAGCUAAGCAGGGUCGGGCCUGGUCAGUACUUGAAUGAGAAACUGCUUUAGAAUGCAGGGUGCUGUAGCUU